rnacentral:rRNA from 1 species
GAUGAACGCUGGCGGCGUGCCUAAUACAUGCAAGUCGAGCGACCAGAUGAGGAUCUUCCUCCUGUCACGUUAGCGGCGGACGAGUGAUUAAUACGUGGAUAACCUACCUAUAAGACUGGGAUAACUUCGGCAAACUUGAGCUAAUAUCGGACAAUAUGUUGAACCCCAUGGUUCAAUAGUGAUAGACGUUUUUGCUGUCCCUUAUAUAUGUAUCCUUGCCGCAUUAGCUAGUUGGUAAGGUAACGGCUUACCAAGGCGACGAUGCGUAGCCGACCUGAGAGGAUGAUCGGCCACACUGGAACUGAGACACGGCCCAGACUCCUACGGGAGGCAGCAGUGGGGAAUCUUGGGCAAUGGGCGAAAGCCUGACGCAGCCACGCCGCGUGAGUGAUGAAGGUCUUCGGAUCGUAAAACUCUGUUGUUCGGGAAGAACAACUGUGGAAGAAAAUCUGGAGGGCUUGACGGUACCUGAUGAGAAAGCAACGGCUAACUACGUG